rnacentral:lncRNA from 1 species
UUUCUAGUCUUCAGAUUCUCCACUUCUUCCCUUCCCCCACCUCAAUUUCCCUGUCUGCAGCGAGCGAUAAUAUCUUUCAUCUGAGUCUCUCUCCCUGCCUCCAGUGACUGCCUCCCCUGAUGAAUUCUCUCUGGGUGACUUUGGCAUUUGCAUAUUUCCUCGCUCGGAUAUUCUGAGAUGUUGGAACCAGAAAGCAGGUUGACGCGAUCAGGUACUUAGCUGAAUGAGGCUUUCUCGGGGAACUGCACAAAUAUUUGGAAUCGGGCGUGUGCCAAUAGGCAAUUAAUUGAAAUGUGGACACAGCAAGCUUCUGGAGGAAGGAAACUGAAGUUGAGAAAUUAGCUGUGGGAAGCGAUCCUCCACAAAAUAUAAAACUGUAAUUUGGGAAUUUCCUUUACUUCAAACUGAAAUUAAUUUGACACAGAAAAGGAAACAAAAUAAAGAACAAAUGUAAGGUCGACUACUGGAGCUGGAGUACUGCAGAGCACUUGAGAACACUGUAUGACCCACCGUCUAGGAGAAGGAGGCAAGCCCAAGGUCAAAGUUGAGUUGGGGAGAAUUCAGGACUGGAAGCAAAAUGUACUGACUCCAGCCCAGGGCACUUUCACUUUAUAAGCUGACUGUCUAGCUGGAGACCUGGAUUAUCAUAUCAGGAGCCAAAGGGUGAGGACUGAGAUUUAAGCAUUUUCCUGUCACCAAUGACUUUGUGAAUACAUAACAAAAUCCAGGUUCUCACUGGCUGUGACCUUAACUGAAGAGUAGAAGCUCUUCAGAUCAACCUUCACUGAGCUCCUGCUCGAGGUCAGGCUGCAUGCUAAGGACUGAGGAUGGAGGUGUUUGCAAUGGCCCUGUUGGGUGCUGCCAGCACGAGACCGAAGGGAAGAGUGAGAGGAGGGAGAAAGGAGGAGCAUGGGUCCCCCUUCUCAAACCUGGUCAAGUUGGUGUGUUCUACUCCUUGCAGCUCAGUAAGAACUGCACCAUAGGACUUCCACAGUAACUUCUGCAAAACCAGCCACUUACACUCAUG